AUGAGCGGCCGCUUUAAUGCACUAAGAGGAAAAAUGAGUUUUAAUAUGAGUAUCUCAAAUGCAGAACCAUCUGAUUCAGCAACAUAUUACUGUUCAGUUAAAUAUUAUACAGAUAUUGCCUUAUUAGACUGCACAGUUUUAGUCCUCAAAGGUUCACCUUCAAGUCUCUCUGCUGUUCUCCAGCCUCCUGUAUCAGAUCCUGUUGAACUGGGAGGAGAUACAACUUUGCAGUGUUCAGUACUCACAGAUACGUCUGCAGGAGAACACAGUGUGUACUGGUUCAGACAUGGAUCAGGAGAAUCUCAUCCAGGAGUCAUUUACACUCAUGGAAACAGGAGUGAUGAGUGUAAGAAAAGCUCUGAGACUGAUUCUCCUACACAGAGCUGUGUCUACAAACUCCCCAAGAGAAACCUCAGCCUCUCUGAUGCUGGAACUUACUACUGUGCUGUGCUCAUGUGUGGAGAGAUCAUCUUUGGGAACGGAACUAAACUGGACUUUGCAGGUAAGAUUUUGCAGUUAAACCUGUUAAACACUGUUUUCUUCUUCAGGGUGAAUGUGAUGAAGCUUUGA